rnacentral:rRNA from 1 species
GGCAUGCAGUCGAACGAAUCCCUUGUAGCAAUAUGAGGGGGAAGUGGCGAAAGGGGCAGUAAUGUAUGGGUAACCUACCCGGGGGUCGUGGAUAGCCGUUCUAACGAGCGGGUAAUACACGGCGAUUCAGCGAGAAGGCAUCUUUUUGCUGGGAAAGAAUUUCGCCUCCGGAGGGGCUCAUAUCGUAUUAGCUAGUUGGUGAGGUAACGGCUCACCAAGGCGAAGAUGCGUAGCGGGUGUGAGAGCACGACCCGCGCCACUGGCACUGAGACACUGGCCAGACACCUACGGGUGGCUGCAGUCGAGGAUCUUCGGCAAUGGGCGCAAGCCUGACCGAGCGACGCCGCGUGGAUGAUGAAGGCCUUCGGGUUGUAAAAUCCUGUCGAGGGGGAUCAAGGGCAACUUGAGUGAUCCCUGGAGGAAGCACGGGCUAAGUUCGUGCCAGCAGCCGCGGUAAGACGAACCGUGCUAACGUUGUUCGGAAUCACUGGGCAUAAAGGGCGCGUAGGCGGCUUAUCAAGUCAGGGGUGAAAUCCGGCAGCUCAACUGUCGAAGUGCCUUUGAUACUGAUGAGCUAGAGGGAGGUAGGGGUCUGUGGAACUUCCGGUGGAGCGGUGAAAUGCGUUGAUAUCGGAAGGAACGCCGGUGGCGAAAGCGACGGACUGGAUCUCUUCUGACGCUGAGGCGCGAAAGCCAGGGGAGCAAACGGGAUUAGAUACCCCGGUAGUCCUGGCCCUAAACGAUUGGUACUAGAUGUGGACUUAACAUGGGUUCACAGUCGAAGCUAUGUUUUAAGUACCCCGCCUGGGGAGUAUGGUCGCAAGGCUGAACUCAAGAAUUGACGGGGGCUCACACAAGCGGUGGAGCAG